AACCUGCCCAAGAGAUCGGGAUAACACCUGGAAACAGAUGCUAAUACCGGAUAACAACAGAUGAUGCCUAUCAACUGUUUAAAAGAUGGUUCUGCUAUCACUCUUGGAUGGACCUGCGGUGCAUUAGCUAGUUGGUAGGGUAACGGCCUACCAAGGCGAUGAUGCAUAGCCGAGUUGAGAGACUGAUCGGCCACAUCGGGACUGAGACACGGCCCAAACUCCUACGGGAGGCAGCAGUU
rnacentral:rRNA from 1 species